rnacentral:rRNA from 1 species
UACGUAGGGGGCAAGCGUUGUCCGGAUUUACUGGGCGUAAAGCGCGCGUAGGCGGAAGCUCAAGUCUGGCCUGAAAGCCCCCGGCUCAACCGGGGAGUGGGGCUGGAAACUGGGUUUCUUGGGGGCGAUAGAGGAGUGUGGAAUUCCUGGUGUAGCGGUGAAAUGCGUAGAGAUCAGGAGGAACACCGGUGGCGAAGGCGACCAUCUGGACGGAUACUGACGCUGAGACGCGAAAGCGUGGGUAGCAAACAGG